rnacentral:misc_RNA from 1 species
CUCGCGCCACGGAAGCCUUUGCAGCUGGAAACAGUUGGUCUGGACGACUCUAAAGAAAUCAGCCUUUAUGCAAGUCAGCGUCUCUGCUGGCGACACUUUCGAACUGACGGGGACACCCUAAAGCUCUCCACACCAAGCCAGCCAGGGAAACCUACUGGUGGCCCAUGGGAAACUAUGGGGUAUGGUAACAGAGGGAGAGAUGAUCUGAGGCACACGCCUUAGUGAGGUGGGCAAUCCGCAGCGAAGCUCCUAACGUCCUCGGGCCUGGCCCGAACCAUGGAGAACGUUCACAGACUAAGUGGAAGUGGGUGGAGAGUAAUCUCCGCUUAAGAUAUAGUCGGGCCCCUUGGGAAACCUUGGGGGUAGCGAGUCUCGAGUCUCUCGAGCUUGGAACAAACCGUUCCGUAGGUGAACCUGCGGAAGGAUCAUUACCGUUGGAGUUCGCUCCAAUCUGGGAUAGAACCCUUGCCUUUGAGUACCUUUUCGUUUCCUCGGUGGGCUCGCCCGCCGGUGGACAACCAUAAACUCUUUGUAAUAGCAGUAUCUUCUGAGAAAAACAAAUAGUCAAAACUUUCAACAACGGAUCUCUUGGUUCUGGCAUCGAUGAAGAACGCAGC